rnacentral:rRNA from 1 species
UCCUGGCAUGAGUAGCGAUAAAAAUGGUGAGAAUCCAUUUCACCGUAAGCGUAAGGGUUCCUGGGCAAGGCUCGUCCUCCCAGGGUUAGUCGGGACCUAAGGCGAGGCCGAAAGGCGUAGUCGAUGGAAAACAGGUUAAUAUUCCUGUACCACCUAUUAGGAGUGAUGGGGUGACGGAGAAGGAUAGAUCAGCCGUGUUUUGGAUUACACGGUUCAAGCUUGUAGGAUUAAGAGAUUGGCAAAUCCGUCUCUUUUUAAGUCCGAGAAGUGAGUACGAGAGGCCCUAGGCCUCAUAAAGUGAUUGAUUCCAUGCUUCCUAGAAAAACCUCUAAAUGUUGAAUAAUAGGUGCUCGUACUGUAAACGGACACACGUACGCGGGUAGAGUAUACCAAGGUGUUUGAGAUAAUUAUGGCCAAGGAACUCGGCAAAAUAGCUCCGUAACUUCGGGAUAAGGAGUGCCUAUGUUAGGUGAAGGAUCUUGCAUCUGGAGCUGAGAUAGGUGACACUGAAAUGAUGGAAGCGACUGUUUACCAAAAACACAGGCCUGUGCUAACCCGCAAGGGGAUGUAUACGGGCUGACGCCUGCCCGGUGCUGGACGGUUAAGGGGACGGGUUAUCCUUCGGGAGAAGCUUGGAACCGAAGCCCCAGUAAACGGCGGCCGUAACUAUAACGGUCCUAAGGUAGCGAAAUUCCUUGUCGUCUAAUUAGCGACCCGCAUGAAUGGCGUAACGACUUCUGUACUGUCUCGGCCAUAAUCUCAGCGAAAUUGUAGUGCUGGUGAAGAUGCCAGCUUCCCGUUGUGGGACGGAAAGACCCCGUGCACCUUUACUAUAACCUAGCACUGGAUUUUGAUGUUAAAUGCGUAGGAUAGGUGGGAGACUAUGAAAGUUUAAUUUUGGUUAAGCUGGAGUCGUUGGUGAAAUACCACCUUUUGAUGUUAGGAUUCUAACUUAAAUCCGUUAUCCGGAUUGAGGACAAUGUUAGGCGGGUAGUUUGACUGGGGCGGUUGACUCCUAAAGAGUAACGGAGUCGCUCAAAGGUUCUCUCAGCAUGAUUGGAAACCAGGCGUCGAGUGUAAUGGCACAAGAGAGCUUGACUGUGAGAUUGACAAAUCGAGCAGGUACGAAAGUAGGACAUAGUGACCCGGUGGCUUCCAUGUGGGAGGGCCAUCGAUCAUCGGAUAAAAGGUACGCCGGGGAUAACAGAUUAAUCGCGCCCAAGAGUUCACAUCGACGGCGCGGAUUGAUACCUCGAUGUCGGCUCAUCGCAUCCCGGGGCUGUAGAAGGUCCCAAGGGUUGAGCUGUUCGCUCAUUAAAGCGGUACGCGAGCUGGGUUCAGAACGUCGUGAGACAGUUCGGUCCCUAUCUACAACGGGCGAAGGAGAAUUGAGAGGGGUUGCUCAUAGUACGAGAGGACCUGAGUGAACAAACCUCUAGUGUACCAGUUGUUGUGCCAACAGCAGUGCUGGGUAGCUACGUUUGGAAAGGAUAACCGCUGAAAGCAUCUUAAGUGGGAAACCUGCCUCGAGAUUAAUUCUCCCGAACCAUUAGGUUCCUUAAGACCACUCGAAGACUACGAGUUUGAUAGGCACAGUGUGUAAGUUCAGUAAUGAAUUCAGCUAAUGUGUACUAAUCGGUCGUGAGCCUUAACUAC